rnacentral:snRNA from 1 species
AUACUUACCUGGUGCAGGGGCCUUGUUGUUCACCAAGGACGAGUCCCCAGGGCGAGGCGCAGGCACUGCACUGGGGUUGCGUUGACCCCUGCCACUAACCCAAACUCGGGCAAACGGAUAUUGCUGGAUAUUGCUGGCAAGAUA